rnacentral:rRNA from 1 species
UGUGCACGGAGCAGACCCCCGGAUACCCGACCAACUGCCCGGCGGUAAUCGCACGGUAUCGGGCCGCACUUUGUGCGUCGGGCCCGUCGCAAGCGAGAUCAGUGUUACCCGNAUGUGCGGACCUAGUGCCGUCGCCGGGCCUGCUCAGCUGUUGGUCGACGGUGUUCUCGGACUGGCUCAAACAAAUUAUGUUACCGGUCGGCGACGCUACUGCUUUGGGUACUUUCAGGACCCGUCUUGAAACACGGACCAAGGAGUCUAACAUGUGCGCGAGUCAUUGGGACUGCAAAACCUAAAGGCGUAAUGAAAGUGAAGGUCGACCUUGCGUCGACUGAGGGAGGAUGGGUUGCGUUACGAUGCAGCCCCGCACUCCCGGGGCGUCUCGUACUCAUUGCGAGUAGAGGCGCACCCAGAGCGUACACGUUGGGACCCGAAAGAUGGUGAACUAUGCCUGGUCAGGACGAAGUCAGGGGAAACCCUGAUGGAGGUCCGUAGCGAUUCUGACGUGCAAAUCGAUCGUCGGAACUGGGUAUAGGGGCGAAAGACUAAUCGAACCAUCUAGUAGCUGGUUCCCUCCGAAGUUUCCCUCAGGAUAGCUGGCACUCGCGUGAGCGAGUCUCAUCUGGUAAAGCGAAUGAUUAGAGGCCUUGGGGCCGAAACGACCUCAACCUAUUCUCAAACUUUAAAUGGGUGAGAUCUCUGGCUUGCUUAAACAGUGAAGCCACGAGAUUUUUCAAUACGGAUCAGAGUGCCAAGUGGGCCAAUUUU